GAUGAACGCUGGCGGCGUGCCUAAUACAUGCAAGUAGAACGCUGAAGGAAGGAGCUUGCUCUUUCCGGGUGAGUUGCGAACGGGUGAGUAACGCGUAGGUAACCUGCCUGGUAGCGGGGGAUAACUAUUGGAAACGAUAGCUAAUACCGCAUAACAGUAGAUGUUGCAUGAUAUCUACUUAAAAGGUGCAAUUGCACCACUACCAGAUGGACCUGCGUUGUAUUAGCUAGUUGGUGAGGUAACGGCUCACCAAGGCGACGAUACAUAGCCGACCUGAGAGGGUGAUCGGCCACACUGGGACUGAGACACGGCCCAGACUCCUACGGGAGGCAGCAGUAGGGAAUCUUCGGCAAUGGACGGAAGUCUGACCGAGCAACGCCGCGUGAGUGAAGAAGGUUUUCGGAUCGUAAAGCUCUGUUGUAAGAGAAGAACGAGUGUGAGAGUGGAAAGUUCACACUGUGACGGUAUCUGACCAGAAAGGGACGGCUAACUACGUG
rnacentral:rRNA from 1 species